rnacentral:lncRNA from 1 species
GGAUGGAAAAGAAUUAAACUGAGUUAUGUGCAUGUACCAACUUCCCACGCUGAGUGCAAUCACUGUGUGCUGCAAACUCGCACUGAUAAAAAUUAAAAAAUUAAAAAAUUGGAUGCCCUUCAUCAAGAGAUAAAGGCUUUGGCGUAUUCCCAGGACAGAUGGUGCUCAACAAAGGAAAUGAAGACAUGAAGAGAACAGGCUGCUCAGUGAAAGAAGCCAGAUUAUGCGAUUCCAUUUAUACGAGCAUUAUGAACAGCCCAUCCUUGGACAAUUUACAGCCACUCCAAAUGACUGUGAGAAGGGUGACUCCGCCAUCUGUGUUUUGGGACCCAUCUCCAUUCAUGCAUUCCAGGAGGAAAAUCAUAAUAACAUGGACAGCACCUGUAAAUGAUAAGCUGUGAAGGACACGUCACUAUCUUUUAACAUCUUGAAUGUCAUUGCAUUAAAGAUACUGCUGAUCAAGUAUAUGGGGAAUAGCAUUACUAGAGAAACAGUGUUAAUGCAAGAUAUACAAAUAUAUAAGAAUUUGCAAGGUUGGCUUACAGUGGCCACACACAGAGGUGGGUGUGGGAGGGCGCAGAGGGCUGCCUGUGCACUGGGG